GACGAACGCUGGCGGCGUGCUUAACACAUGCAAGUCGAGCGAUGAAGCACCUUCGGGUGUGAAUUAGCGGCGAACGGGUGAGGAACACGUGAGAAAUCUGCCUUCAACACUGGGAUAACUCCGGGAAACCGGGGCUAAUACCGGAUAUGAAACCUGCGGGCAUCCGCGGGUUCGGAAAGUUUUUCGGUUGAAGAUGAUCUCGCGGCCUAUCAGCUUGUUGGUGAGGUAAUGGCUCACCAAGGCGACGACGGGUAGCCGGCCUGAGAGGGCGACCGGCCACACUGGGACUGAGACACGGCCCAGACUCCUACGGGAGGCAGCAGUGGGGAAUAUUGGGCAAUGGAGGAAACUCUGACCCAGCGACGCCGCGUGCGGGAUGAAGGCCUUCGGGUUGUAAACCGCUUUCAGCAGGGAAGAAGCGAAAGUGACGGUACCUGCAGAAGAAGCACCGGCUAACUAUGUGCCAGCAGCCGCAGUAA
rnacentral:rRNA from 1 species